GAUGAACGCUGGCGGCGUGCCUAAUACAUGCAAGUCGAGCGAACAGACGAGGAGCUUGCUCCUCUGACGUUAGCGGCGGACGGGUGAGUAAAACGUGGAUAAACUACCUAUAAGACUGGGAUAAAUUCGGGAAACCGGAGCUAAUACCGGAUAAUAUAUUGAACCGCAUGGUUCAAUAGUGAAAGACGGUUUUGCUGUCACUUAUAGAUGGAUCCGCGCCGCAUUAGCUAGUUGGUAAGGUAACGGCUUACCAAGGCGACGAUGCGUAGCCGACCUGAGAGGGUGAUCGGCCACACUGGAACUGAGACACGGUCCAGACUCCUACGGGAGGCAGCAGUAGGGAAUCUUCCGCAAUGGGCGAAAGCCUGACGGAGCAACGCCGCGUGAGUGAUGAAGGUCUUCGGAUCGUAAAACUCUGUUAUUAGGGAAGAACAAAUGUGUAAGUAACUAUGCACGUCUUGACGGUACCUAAUCAGAAAGCCACGGCUAACUACGUG
rnacentral:rRNA from 1 species